rnacentral:lncRNA from 1 species
AUUAUUGUGCAGGAACCAGAAGUACAGCCAACAGCGAGCUUAUCAGUUAUGGUUUCUGGGUAUUUUGAAGAUGGCGAGCCGCCAUUGCUGCCCAGAAGCUCGAGCAAAAACAUUAUCAGUCAUGGCGAAGAAGAUGAUGAUGAAGAUGAAGAUAAACCAAGUGAUUCUGUUGAAGAUGAAAAGAGCUUUUGGGAGACCCAGCACCAGGUUUUGCAGGAAACCUUACGCAGAAGCAGUUCUUUGGAGUCGAGAAUCAGAACCGCAACCAAAGACGCAUUGAAGGAAAUUCAGAUGUCUGCAACGUCUUGUUCUUGUAGGAAGUCAACAGUUGCCGCUGCUUGCCGGAAUUGUCUGAUGAGAGAAGUUUCUACCCGUCUGAGAAACGCCAGGUACAAUUGUGCAGUCUGUAAAUCAAAAUGGAGAAGCUCCCCAGAUAUUCCAUCAGGUAAAUUAACAAGACACACACAUAUAUAUACAUAUAUAUAUAUAUGUAUAUGUAUAUAGUACCUGAAAUUUGAAGUAGUAUCAAUGGAGAAACUAAUGGAAAUAUAUUAUGUUCUGAAGGUGGGCAUACGUUUUUGGAUGUGGUGGAGAAUUCAAG